rnacentral:rRNA from 1 species
GGUGCUAAUACCGGAUAAGAAAGACGGAUCGCAUGAUCAGCUUUUAAAAGGCGGCGUAAGCUGUCGCUAUGGGAUGGCCCCCGCGGUGCAUUAGCUAGUUGGUAAGGUAAAGGCUUACCAAGGCGAUGAUGCAUAGCCGAGUUGAGAGACUGAUCGGCCACAUUGGGACUGAGACACGGCCCAAACUCCUACGGGAGGCAGCAGUG